GUUUUGCCAUGUUGGCCAGGCUGGUCUCGAAUUCCUGACCUCAAGUGAUAUGCCUGCCUCGGCCUCCCAAAGUGCUGGGAUUACAGGCGUAAGCCACAUGCCCAGCUCGAUCCCUCCCUUUUGUUCAACAAACUAAAUUCGAGCAGGAGGCUCUAGGAUUCCACAGGCAUGAUGAAAUGGAAGCCGGAGGAUCUGGGAUCGGUUCCUUGUGAGGCUUUCUCUGUUACUCUGCUGUGCGGCUGGCCAGGGCACUUCCACAUCAUUCUUUUCAAUCAUGUGUCAUAUUCAAGUCCAUUUCCAUUUUAUGCAUUUAUUCGUAAAUUAUGGAAGAUGAAAACUAAAGUGGGAAAGCACCAAGAAGAGGGUCAUCUCUCUCUCCUGGGACAGGAACACGAGCUCGAGUUAUAUAUUCUGUGGAGAGAAAGCAAGAGUAAAAACAAUAAACGUCCUGAAUAUACUUUCCAUUAAGUUUUUCUUCCCCCCUUGGAAGAUGAAUUGCAUUUUAUCAGUUAUCUCAGAGAAGCACUUUGAAAUGAAGUAAGGAAAUAAACAUGGCUCUACAUUUUUAAACAGAUGAUUUGUUACCAGACUAUGACCAUAAUGGAAAAAAAGCCAACUCCCUUGAGGUUUCUGAUGCCAAGGCAUGACUGCACAUUGAAUGUCAUCAGAGUUCUCCUGGCUGGUCGCAUUGGUGUGCCCCAUGGAAUGAUUGAGACUGGCCGGGAGACAUCAAGAGGUAUUAAUGUGUAUUUUGCAAGGAAGGUGCAGGAGCUGGGGCCUUACCUGCAGUUGCUGAUGGAUUUCUUAGUGAGAAAAAUGGUUACAUGUUCAUUGUGAAUCUGCAAAGCGGGGGCACUACUCAUUGUUGUCACUCACGGGUAGAAGAAGCCAAUGGAGGCUCGAUUUGGACAUGAACUUCCCAGGGACUAGAGAAUGCGGCGCUUAAAACUUCUGCUAAAUUAUGUGUUUCCUUUGUGCUUCCAUUUCUUUGGCCACAGCAAGUCACAUGACAUGAUAGGAAACACAACCCUCCCACAAAGCCAGUGGAGAACUGGAAUCUUUGCAAAUGGCCCUCAAGCCUGUCAUCUAUGUGCAUGGUAACAGGAGAGGGAAUUGGAAAGGUGAGUUAGGGGCUGCUUUCUGAAGUUGUGUUUGCAAAACACACAAACCAGUUUAAUAUGGUCAGGCUUUGUGUCCCUGCCCAAAUCUCAUCUUGAAUUGUAAUCCCCAGAUGUUGAGGGAGAGACCUGGUGGGAAGUGACUGAAUCAUGGGGGCAGUUGCCCCCCUGCUGUUCUCAUGAUAGUGAUGAGUUCUCAUGAGAUCUGAUGGUUUUAUAAGGCAGUUUUCCCUGCUCUUGCUAGCUCUUCUCUCUCCUGCUGCCAUGUGAAGAAGAUCCUUGCCUCCCCUUUGUCCUCCAUGAUUGUAAGUUUCCUGAGGUCUCCCCAUCCAUGUGGAACUGUGAGUCAAUAAAACCUCUUUCCUUUAUAAAUUUCCAGUCUUGGGUAGUUCUUUACAGCAGUGUGAAAAUGGACUAAUACAUAGUUUUACCUUUAUUUUGUUUCUGUGAGGUGUUUUUCAGUUGAAGGUAUUCAUGG
rnacentral:lncRNA from 10 species